CAGUCGCCGCGGUAAUACGAAGGGGGCUAGCGUUGCUCGGAAUCACUGGGCGUAAAGGGUGCGUAGGCGGGUCUUUAAGUCAGGGGUGAAAUCCUGGAGCUCAACUCCAGAACUGCCUUUGAUACUGAAGAUCUUGAGUUCGGGAGAGGUGAGUGGAACUGCGAGUGUAGAGGUGAAAUUCGUAGAUAUUCGCAAGAACACCAGUGGCGAAGGCGGCUCACUGGCCCGAUACUGACGCUGAGGCACGAAAGCGUGGGGAGCAAACAGGAUUAGAUACCCGAGUAGUCCCUGUCUCUUAUAA
rnacentral:rRNA from 1 species